CUAACGAAGAUAAAAAAGCCUAUGUGCAGUAUGGCUACUUUUACUUCUACUGAAAGACCAAUUGCCUAACAUGCCGAUCGCAUAAAUUUGUCCAUACAUAGAAACAGCAAAUUAUUUACCGUCAUGUAUGAUGGAGUUGAAGACAUGGUUCAAAUUGUAGUCUACUCACUUUAGCACAUAAAAAAAGAAGAUACUUCUUAUCUUUUUACACGUCUUUUUGAAAGCAUAGAGCGAGGGACACUAGUAUGGAAAUGGAUGGGCUCAGAUUCA
rnacentral:lncRNA from 1 species